CCUACGGUGGGCAGCAGUGAGGAAUAUUGGUCAAUGGACGAGAGUCUGAACCAGCCAAGUAGCGUGAAGGAUGACUGCCCUAUGGGUUGUAAACUUCUUUUAUAAAGGAAUAAAACGAGGCACGUGUGCCUUUUUGCAUGUACUUUAUGAAUAAGGAUCGGCUAACUCCGUGCCAGCAGCCGCGGUAAUACGGAGGAUCCGAGCGUUAUCCGGAUUUAUUGGGUUUAAAGGGAGCGUAGAUGGGUUGUUAAGUCAGUUGUGAAAGUUUGCGGCUCAACCGUAAAAUUGCAAUUGAUACUGGCAGUCUUGAGUACAGUUGAGGUAGGCGGAAUGCGUGGUGUAGCGGUGAAAUGCUGAGAUAUCACGAAGAACCCCGAUUGCGAAGGCAGCUUACUAAGCUGUGACUGACAUUGAUGCUCGAAAGUGUGGGUAUCAAACAGGAUUAGAUACCCUGGUAGUC
rnacentral:rRNA from 1 species